AUAUUUCUGCAUGAUCCAGCAAUGUUGCUGAUACAGCAGGCUGUUGUGAGUAAUUGCCAAGGUGACAGGGUGUUGUCCACCAAAGGUGGAGUACAUUUGGUAUGGCCAGGUCCUAUCUAACUCCAUCUGUAAUACAUAAUCUACAAACCUCUGUGAAAUUCAUGGCUGAAGGUAUUUAGCAUGGCAUCACAUUACGAUUUUUUCCCAUGGGAAGAAUGACUACACUGCACUAAGGAUGAGCAGUGUACAGCACACACAAAGUUUGGAGGGCACUGAGUGAGUCUUGGCAGAGAACACAAUUGGGAAGACUGUGUCGCCAGAUGUACUCCUUGGCCUAGUACAAGGCGAAAAAGCUCAGCUGUAAAUACUGAGAAGUGUGCCGGAAGCUGAUAUUGAAAGACACGGGUGCCAAUGACGAAGGCACACCCGACCUCACAGUCACUCAGAGAGCCAUCAGUGUAUACAAAGGUACUUUCACAAAGUUCCAUGCGAAGGCCAUGAAAAUGAAGGCGAUAGACUGAGGCUAGAGUAGUAAUUAGAUAGAUUUUGUUUUUAUAUCCCCUAUAGGAGCACAGUGUAGAAAGAUAAAAAAUAUUUCUAGAUUUUCACAUAAUAUGGGCUCUUGAGAUUUUGUAAGUAGGCAUUAGUGGGAUAAUUUGCAUGUAUCUUCUAGAGUCUGCCAAUUCAGAUGUUUCAACAUGUCAGUGAGUCUUCCAUGAGUCACACAAACCUAUGAUCACUUUAGCCAUCUUCCUUUAUGUACUGCCAUGAUAAAGCAUAUCUGAUAACAAUAUCUACAUAUACCGGUGGCUAUAGUAUCACAUACGCAAGGUAUAAAAGAACGUGCCUUGGCAAAGCUGUUGUUUGUACUCAGGUGAUUCAUCUGAAAAUGUUUCCAACAUGAUUGUGGCCACACAACUGGAAUGCAGAAUGGUAGUUGUGCCUAGAUGCAUGGUACAUUCCAUUUUUAAAAUUGUUACGGAAUUCUAUAUUCCGAGAUUGACAGCGUCAAGAGUGUGCUGAGAAUGCCAAAUUUCAGGCAUUACCUUAUACUACAGACGAUGCAGUGGCAGAUGGCCUUCACUUACAGAGAGCAGGGGCAUUUGCAAAGAGUUUUCAGUGCUAACAAUUGCAAAAAUCAAUGUGUGACAUAAGACGAACAUAUCAGUUAGGACAGUGUGGCGAAAUUUGGCGUUAAUGGACUAUGACAGCAGACAUCCAACGCAAGUGUCUUUGCUAACAACAUCACCUGCAGCACCUCUCCUGGGCUUGUGACCAUAUCGACUGGACCCUAGAUGACUGGGAAACCAUGGCCUGAUCAGAUGAUUCCCAAGUUCAUUUGGUAAGAGCUGAUCGUAGGGUUAGAGUGUGGCGCAGACCCCACAAAGCCGUAGACCCAAGUUGUCAACAAGGCUCUGCAAGCAGGUGGUUGGUCCCUAAUGGUGUGGGCCAUUUUUACUUGGAAAAGACUGCGUCCUGGUUAUGGUCAGCUGCUUGAAGAACAUUUGCAGACAUUUAGGGAUUUCAUCUUCCCAAACAAUGAUGGAAUUUUUGUGGAUAACAAUGUACUGUGCCACAAGGCCACAAUUGUGUUGGUUUGAAGAACAUUCUGGACAGUUUGAGCAAAUUAUUUGGCCACCCAGAUCGACCGACAUGAAUCCCAUCGAGCAUUUAUGGGAUAUAAUUGAGAGAUUAGUUCAUGCAUAAGAUCCUGCACAGACAAUGUCUUCCCAAUUACAGAUGGCUAUAGAGGCAGCAUGGCUCACUAUUCCUACAGGGACUUCCAUUGACUGAGUCCAUGCCACAUCGAGCUGCUGCACUUUGCCAGGCAAAAGGCGGUUCAAAAACACAUUAGGAGGUAUCACAUAAGUUUCGUCACCCCAGUGUAUAUGUUCAGUAUCUCACGUAAGUCAUAUCUGGUAUGAGUCCCACGGACUUAAGCUGUAUUUUGAAAUGGGACACUCAUGUGGUAUGAAAGGAGUCUACUUUGUAGAUUGGCUACAUGUCCCAAGUAUCCUGCCAAUGGACUGAAGUCUGCCAUCUGACUUGCCUAUGACUUAGCCUGUGUGGACAUUCCAUUUCAUUUCCAAACAAAGUGUUAUACCCAGGUAUUUUUGAGUUGACUGAUUCUAAUUAUGAAAUUGUUGUUUUAGGGUACUACACUUUUUCGUUUUGUGAAGUGUGUAAUUUUAUAUUUCUGUGUGUUUAAAGUAAGUUGCUAGUUUAUGUACCGCUUUGAAAUCCUAUCAAGAUUUAAUGAAAUAAUUCUGCAGCAUUUUUCACAUUGUACUUCAUUAUAAAUAACUACAUCACGUAUGAUAAACUCUGACCUUGUUAUUGCAAUUACUCUGCAAGGUCGUUAAUGUAGUCUGCCUACAUAGCUGAGUGGUCAGAAUGACUGGUUGUCAUGUGUAAGACCUGGGUUUGAUUUCUGGUACUGCCAGGGACGUUUACUUGGUGGGAGGAUGAGAGAGGUUGCAGUCAGCCUCAUGAUCCCAAUUGAGAGGCUACUUGACUGAGUAGUAGUGGCUCCAGCCCUCAGAAACUCACAAUAGCAGAGUAAGUGGUGUGCUGAUCCCACGCCCCUCCAUACUGCAUCGAAUGAUGCCAAUGGCCGAGGAUGACACGGCAGUCAGUCGGUACUGAUGGACCCAUCAGGGCUUGUGGAUGGCAUCAAUAAUACACAUAAUGAGCAAGGGUCUCCCUAAAGACUUUCCUAUGGCACACCUAGGUUACUUUUACUUUUGUCGAUUACUUUCUGUCUCAACGUGCUGUGUCCUGCCUACCAGGAAAUUAUCAACCCAGUCACAAAGUUUGUUCGAUAUUCCAUCUGAUCAUACUUUGGUUUAUAAAUGUUGAUGUGUUAUAGAGUCAACGUUUUUCAGAAGCCAAAAACAUGCUUGAUCCAUGGUUUUCAGGAGGUUGUGAGAAAAGCACAAGUUGGGUUUCGUGUCAUCUACAUCUACAUGAUUACUCUGCAAUUCACAUUUAAGUGCUUGGCAGAGGGUUCAUCGAACCACAAUCAUACUAUCUCUCUACCAUUUCACUCAUGAACAGCGCGCCGGAAAAAUGAACUCCUAAACCUUUCUGUUCGAGCUCUGAUUUCUCUUAUUUUAUUUUGAUGAUCAUUCCUACCUAUGUAGGUUGGGCUCAACAAAAUAUUUUCGCAUUCGGAAGAGAAAGUUGAUGACUAAAAUUUCGUAAAUAGAUCUCGCCACGACGAAAAACGUCUUUGCUUUAAUGACUUCCAUCCCAACUCGCGUAUCAUAUCUGCCACACUCUCUCCCCUAUUACGUGAUAAUACAAAACGAGCUGCCCUUUUUUGCAUCCUUUCGAUGUCCUCUGUCAAUCCCACCUGGUAAGGAUCCCACACUGCGCAGCAAUAUUCUAACAGAGGACGAACAAGCGUAGUGUAAGCUGUCUCUUUAGUGGACUUGUUGCAUCUUCUAAGUGUCCUACCUUUGGCUGGCCUUCCCCACAAUAUUAUCUAUGUGGUCUUUCCAACUGAAGUUGUUCGUAAUUUUAACACCCAGGUACUUAGUUGAAUUGGCAGCCUUGAGAAUUGUACUAUUUAUCGAGUAAUCGAAUUCCUACGGAUUUCUUUUGGAACUCAUGUGGAUCACCUCACACUUUUGGUUAUUUAGCAUCAACUGCCACCUGCCACACCAUACAGCAAUUUUUUCUAAAUCGCUUUGCAACUGAUACUGGUCUUCAGAUGACCUUACUAGACGAUAGUGAUGGGCUAAACUGCGAUUUUCCGAUAUCAGUGAUUUCUGUGAAUGCUACUUUUCAGUAUCUGUUAUUCUUAACUGUGAUUUGUCGCAGUUAAGAGUCGCAGUUAAGGAACAUAGGUCGUGUAUCCCUCCGCCACUGCUAUUUCUGCUACUUCCGCGAUUUCUGUGACGUACCACCGUAUGAAAAAGUUACAUCUGUCCACACAGAAAAUUGCAUCUCAAGAAACCUGUCAUUGGUAAGUAUGUUUUACGUUUAUUCUUCUGUUGGCUUUAAUUUUGUAUUAAAGAAACAACUGUGAAAAUAUUAAUAGUGUAAUUAAUAUGUAAGUAGCCGUACAGUACCGUAAUAGUUCGUGUUUAGAAAAUGAAUUCUAACAUAUUGUUAUGUUCAUAGGUACCUGAACUACAUUUCAGUCACUCAGUAAAGUGAUAACUCAAAAUAUCAUUGUCAACAGAUCUGAAGAAAUUGCCACUGCGUCUUUAGACCGUUUUCGUCAGACGAGAGACGCAGUUCUGACUGAUUACUGGUUGCUGUACGUAUCUAUCCACAUCAAGGCUGUUGAGAGAGACUCGUGAAGAUUCAAGACAGCUCUUAGAGGAUUUGCAGUUUAAAAGUGAAAUAAUUAUGAAAGAAGUGUGUCAGUGAUUCAUCUGUUUUAUUGAAGUUGUUGUGCGAUUUUAAGGGAAUAAUAAAUGA